CUGCGAUAAAGGCAAACUAAUUCGAAAGAUUAGGACGCAAAGCCACGGAUCUAACGUUUUUUUGAAACUAUGACCGCCGGGCUGCCGAA
rnacentral:ncRNA from 2 species